rnacentral:rRNA from 1 species
AGUGAACGCUGGCGGUAGGCCUAACACAUGCAAGUCGAACGGCAGCACAGUAAGAGCUUGCUCUUACGGGUGGCGAGUGGCGGACGGGUGAGGAAUACAUCGGAAUCUACUUUUUCGUGGGGGAUAACGUAGGGAAACUUACGCUAAUACCGCAUACGACCUACGGGCGAAAGCAGGGGAUCUUCGGACCUUGCGCGAUUGAAUGAGCCGAUGUCGGAUUAGCUAGUUGGCGGGGUAAAGGCCCACCAAGGCGACGAUCCGUAGCUGGUCUGAGAGGAUGAUCAGCCACACUGGAACUGAGACACGGUCCAGACUUCUACGGGAGGCAGCAGUGGGGAAUAUUGGACAAUGGGCGCAAGCCUGAUCCAGCCAUACCGCGUGGGUGAAGAAGGCCUUCGGGUUGUAAAGCCCUUUUGUUGGGAAAGAAAAGCAGCAGGUUAAUACCCCGCUGUUCUGACGGUACCCAAAGAAUAAGCACCGGCUAACUUCGUG